GAAGGGUGGCAAGCGUUGUUCGGAAUCACUGGGCUUAAAGCGCGCGUAGGCGGAAAUUCAAGUGUCUUGUGAAAUCCCUCGGCUUAACCGAGGAAUUGCUUGGCAAACUGAAUUUCUUGAGAUAAGUAGGGGUACAUGGAACUCUUGGUGGAGCGGUGGAAUGCGUAGAUAUCAAGAGGAACGCCGAAGGUGAAGACAGUGUACUGGGCUUAUUCUGACGCUGAGGUGCGAAAGCGUGGGGAGCGAACGGGAUUAGAUACCCCGGUAGUCCACGCCGUAAACGAUGUCUACUAGGUUGUGGAGGUUCUGACACCCUCACAGUCGAAGCAAAAGUGUUAAGUAGACCGCCUGGGGAGUACGGUCGCAAGGCUA
rnacentral:rRNA from 1 species